rnacentral:tRNA from 1 species
UUUAAGUUGGUUUAUUAAAACAUUAGCUUGUGUUGCUAAAAAUGCUUUAUCUUAGUACUUUAAA